AUGCCACUCUCCACGAUAGACCUCUCCAUAAGAUCCAAGUCCAAUACGCUCGCCCAAGGCAAUAUCCUCCCACGGAAUCUCACAGUCUGCUACAUCAUCAAGUGUCACAUCCGAUUUAGUACUAUCAUUACUAGUUGACUUAUCUGACAUCCUUUCGCCCUCUGAAUUUGCUCCUGCUGCCUCAUGCUCUUGAUGACCACAUCCCUGUUGCUCAUAAACAGCAGUAUCUGCAUCUCCAUCAGCUCUUUCACAGUCUCCUUGUGCCUCAUAUUGCUUACUGACUGCUGCAGUUGUUGCUACUACUGCUGCAGCUGUGGCUGUGGCAGCAGCUGCUACGGGAAGGUCCCCG
rnacentral:misc_RNA from 1 species